rnacentral:rRNA from 1 species
AUUGAACGCUGGCGGCAGGCUUAACACAUGCAAGUCGAGCGAGCGGCGGACGGGUGAGUAAUGUCUGGGAAACUGCCUGAUGGAGGGGGAUAACUACUGGAAACGGUAGCUAAUACCGCAUACCAUCAGAUGUGCCCAGAUGGGAUUAGCUAGUAGGUGGGGUAAUGGCUCACCUAGGCGACGAUCCCUAGCUGGUCUGAGAGGAUUACCAGCCACACUGGAACUGAGGAACGGUCCAGACUCCUACGGGAGGCAGGAAGGGGGAAUAUUGGACAAUGGGCGCAAGCCUGAUGCAGCCAUGCCGCGUGUGUGAAGAAGGCCUUCGGGGUGGAAAGCACUUUUAGCGGGGGAGCGUUACUCGGAGAAGAAGCACCGGCUAAAUCCGUGCCAGCAGCCGCGGUAAUUC